CAGCUGGCUUAAGCAUUAUAUAAAGCAGCAUGGCAAUUGUUAAAAAUACCAAAUUACUGAUAAAAUGAGAGAUACACAAGCUUUAACAUAAUACAUAAGGGACUCGAGAUAUUACCACGUUUCUUCAUGCAACAUCAUUCUAUGACAGAACACUACCUUAGAACUAUAGCCUUUAAAGCAUCAAAGAAACAUAUGCAACGACUAACAAAAGAAAAGCAAGCAAAUGUCUUCAGUAGACAACUAAUAAACUUUCUAGAUAUACAGAGGCUACACACUUUAUUUAAUUUUGUAAACUCUAAAAUUAAUGUAAUUUACUCACCCUUAAGAGUAAGUACUCUGAAUGCUAAAUGUGUCGCUUCCUAUCGUGAACUCCCCCUGAAGAAUUGCACUGAAAUGCUUGAUUAUUUCCGCCAAGCUUGGUUGAGAUUUAAAGUAUUCCAGUACGUACAAUUUUAGUAAAGUAUUCAAAGCUCCCCAAGGUUGAUACAAUGCAUUAUAGUUUUGUACCGUCUCCUAUAAAUACUGUACAUACUAAACUACCUCCACACAAACUUCAAACUCACAAAUAAAUCUAAACUUCAAAGAAGAAGAGGAUAAAUAGUUUUCUUUCUAAAAUGUAUGUGCAAUAAGAAUGGCGUGGCAUCUCCAUUAAACAACAACAGAUGAAUAAUAUCUUGAGUUAACAAAGCAUGAUUAGUUGAGUAGCUAAACUAAUUAUAAGUUUAGUCAUCUAUUAUAUAUUAUUUAUCAUUGUAUAUUAUACAUGACCGGAUUUUCUUCUUCCAAGGGGCUUUCUAAUGUGAAAAUCAGUGGAGUCCAUCUAAGGUUAUCCACCACUAUGCCGCCAGAAGACCCUGUAGAAGUUAAAAAUCCUAAUAAACCCAGUUUACAAAAAGAAAAAGUUUACACCCCAAAAAAAAGUAGUAAUAUUUUUUUUCAAUAAAGUUUUUCAUAACAGAGCUGGAGAAAGUCAACAUCUCAUUUUGUUCUAAAAUAUUUCCAUGAGAAAUCCCUAACCCACAACCCUAACUCCUGUUUAGAACUCAGGUAACUGAAGAUUUUUCGCAAAUUUUCCAAUGUAUACUAAAUUCUGCUCCAAAAAUCUGUCAUUUAAGCUGAAAUAAUAAAUGUAAUACUAAUUAUUUACCACAAAUUGAAAAUGGAGAAAAAAUUUAUUACUCCAAAAGGGAUGCCACAAAUAUGUCAAAUUCAAGCUCAUCGCAAUAUUGAAAUCGAAUAAAAGAGAAUACUGAUAAUUCAAUAGGUUAAAAUCCUAAAAUCCUUAAGCUUGCGACAAAUUUUCAAUAUAAAUCCAAAAGUUCAAUAGUUUUUGAUUUUUCCAAAAUUGUCUUAUUCUAUUGUUACCUUGAGUUGGUGUGGUUGAGUCGCCACUGCAAUCGCCAUGUCCCCCUAAAGGCCUACCUUUAUAUACGUCAGAGAGAGCGAGAGCGAGAGAGAGAAACAAGAAAGUCACAGACGAAGAUAAAGGAAAGCGGUGGUAAGAUGAAGAUAACUCCACAUAGAGUAACACAACUUUUCUAAUUUUUCAAAGCUCUUUAUGAAGCAUCUGAGAGUCUGAGGGGCAAAAUUGAAAUAAAU
rnacentral:lncRNA from 1 species